rnacentral:hammerhead_ribozyme from 1 species
AUCCAGUUGAUGAGUCCCAAAUAGGACGAAACGCCCGUCAAACUGGAA